GCGGGUGCGUAACGCGUGGGAAUCUGCCCUUGGGUUCGGAAUAACAGUUAGAAAUGACUGCUAAUACCGGAUGAUGUCUUCGGACCAAAGAUUUAUCGCCCAAGGAUGAGCCCGCGUAAGAUUAGCUAGUUGGUGGGGUAAUGGCCCACCAAGGCGACGAUCUUUAGCUGGUCUGAGAGGAUGAUCAGCCACACUGGGACUGAGACACGGCCCAGACUCCUACGGGAGGCAGCAGUGGGGAAUAUUGGACAAUGGGCGCAAGCCUGAUCCAGCAAUGCCGCGUGAGUGAUGAAGGCCUUAGGGUUGUAAAGCUCUUUUACCAGGGAUGAUAAUGACAGUACCUGGAGAAUAAGCUCCGGCUAACUCCGUGCCAGCAGCCGCGGUAAUACGGAGGGAGCUAGCGUUGUUCGGAAUUACUGGGCGUAAAGCGUACGUAGGCGGUUAUUCAAGUCAGAGGUGAAAGCCCGGGGCUCAACCCCGGAACGGCCUUUGAAACUAGGUAGCUAGAGUCUUGGAGAGGUUAGUGGAAUUCCGAGUGUAGAGGUGAAAUUCGUAGA
rnacentral:rRNA from 1 species